AGGACGAACGCUGGCGGCGUGCCUAAUACAUGCAAGUCGAGCGGACCAAAUCGGAGCUUGCUCUGAUUUGGUCAGCGGCGGACGGGUGAGUAACACGUGGGCAACCUGCCCGCAAGACCGGGAUAACUCCGGGAAACCGGAGCUAAUACCGGAUAACACCGAAGACCGCAUGGUCUUUGGUUGAAAGGCGGCCUUUGGCUGUCACUUGCGGAUGGGCCCGCGGCGCAUUAGCUAGUUGGUGAGGUAACGGCUCACCAAGGCGACGAUGCGUAGCCGGCCUGAGAGGGUGACCGGCCACACUGGGACUGAGACACGGCCCAGACUCCUACGGGAGGCAGCAGUAGGGAAUCUUCCGCAAUGGGCGAAAGCCUGACGGAGCGACGCCGCGUGAGCGAAGAAGGCCUUCGGGUCGUAAAGCUCUGUUGUGAGGGACGAAGGAGCGCCGUUCGAAGAGGGCGGCGCGGUGACGGUACCUCACGAGGAAGCCCCGGCUAACUACGUGCCAGCAGCCGCGGUAAUACGUAGGGGGCGAGCGUUGUCCGGAAUUAUUGGGCGUAAAGCGCGCGCAGGCGGUUCCUUAAGUCUGAUGUGAAAGCCCACGGCUCAACCGUGGAGGGUCAUUGGAAACUGGGGGACUUGAGUGCAGGAGAGGAGAGCGGAAUUCCACGUGUAGCGGUGAAAUGCGUAGAGAUGUGGAGGAACACCAGUGGCGAAAGCGGCUCUCUGGCCUGCAACUGACGCUGAGGCGCGAAAGCGUGGGGGAGCAAACAGGGAUUAGAUACCUUGGCUAGUCCACUCCGUAAACGAUGAGUGCUAAGUGUUAGAGGGGUCUCACUCUUUAGUGCUGCAGCUAACGCGAUAAGCACUCCGCCUGGGGAGUACGGCCGCAAGGCUGAAACUCAAAGGAAUUGACGGGGGUCCGCUCAAGCGGUGGAGCAUGUGGUUUAAUUCGAAGCAACGCGAAGAACCUUACCAGGUCUUGACAUCCCCUGACAACCCAAGAGAUUGGGCGUUCCCCCUUCGGGGGGACAGGGUGACAGGUGGUGCAUGGUUGUCGUCAGCUCGUGUCGUGAGAUGUUGGGUUAAGUCCCGCAACGAGCGCAACCCUCGCCUCUAGUUGUCAGCACGAAGGUGGGCACUCUAGAGGGACUGCCGGCGACAAGUCGGAGGAAGGUGGGGAUGACGUCAAAUCAUCAUGCCCCUUAUGACCUGGGCUACACACGUGCUACAAUGGGCGGUACAAAGGGCUGCGAACCCGCGAGGGGGAGCGAAUCCCAAAAAGCCGCUCUCAGUUCGGAUUGCAGGCUGCAACUACGCUUGCAUGAAGCCGGAAUCGCUAGUAAUCGCGGAUCAGCUAUGCCGCGGUGAAUACGUUCCCGGGCUUUGUACACUCCGCCCGUCACUCCUCGAGAGCUUGCAACUCCUCGAAGUCGGUGAGGUAACCUUUACGGGAGCCUGCCUCUGAAGGUGGGGCAAGUGAUUGGGGUGAAGUC
rnacentral:rRNA from 1 species